CUAUGAUUAAAAAAUUAAUCAUGGCGGAAGGAG
rnacentral:ncRNA from 1 species